rnacentral:lncRNA from 1 species
CCCCAACCUGCGUGGCCCGGGCGAGGUUCCUGAUUGGGCCUCGCGUUACCUGCCCGGCUUGCUCUCCUGCACCACCCUGGCCCCGGCCCCCUUAUUGGCUCUGCCUGGGAGGAGGGGGCGUGGCUGGCAGAGAGCGGAAAUCCCAUCCCAGAGCGGCGUUUAUUCUCUCCUGGCUUUCUCUAGCGCGGCACUGAGUGCCACCAGGUCAUUCCACAGUGGAUGGCGGCGGGCGGCUGUGGAAGGGAUGCCCUUGGCCGAGCGCUGUGCCUGCUGGUCUUUUUCCUGAAGUGCAAUAAAUAUAACUCCCAGCCAAUGGGCGGCGGUGCGGAUAUGUGUGUAUAAAUACGAUUUGCACGUUCUAUAAAUAAGAUUUAUUACUUUUAAAGCUUUAGCGGUUUUUUUGUAUUCCGAUCACCUUUGCGUUGUGAGUACUUUCCCCCGAUGCAGCUUCAAAGGGCGGCUUCGCGAGGAAGCUCUUUACCGUAAGUGAUGCAUGUUGCUAGAGAGCUCUAGCAUCUGUGCUGGCUCCUUAAAACACUCCAGGAACGAGGCCAGUUGCCGGCUUCAAUCCAUAAUGGCUCAGGCUCUACUUAUUUAAAAGGCCGCCACCUCAUUCUGUUCCAAGUCCAUAAGCACUCUUCCAGAUUUCACCCACAAUUUUUUAAAUAUUCCAACUACAUACUGCCAAAUUCCUGUCUCCAUAUUAUGGAAGUAGAUUUGGUAGCGUUUCUACAGGGGGGUACAGCAGUACUUUCAUUUAGAAUUAGAAUUUAUUUAUCAAGGCUGCACAGCCUUUUAUUAAGUAUGACACAAUGCUGCAAAGAAUAAUCAAAGGCAAGGGGAAAGGUAGCCUUUUUAACGUUUUUCAUUUUUAAAGUUACGUCACUGUUUUUACACUUGAAUGUUACAGCAGGAGCAUGUGGGUGUAGCCAGGAUUUGGGGGUGGGGGGCAGAACCAAUGUAAUUGGUUAGUUAAGUAUUUUUAUUGUUUUACGCCCAUGAGCAGGAGAUUGCCUUGAAAAAGCAACAUCUGGCAACCUGCCAGUUCCUCAUAUUCUAGCCUGGCAUGACAGACCCAGCUCAGGGCUAUGCAGGUGGUUCUCAGCUGAGUUGUAUAGGAGAAAGUGAAACGGCUGGGAACCUGGAAAAGUAGAGAGGGACCACCUGCUUCUCCAGUCCAGAAGCUAUUGCCACCAGACACAUCAGAUAGGUUUCACAUUCUCUGAAACUCUGUCCAAGAGAAUGGCUGUCAGUAGGGCUAGCCCUAAUUGACAUUCGAGCUACUGGAAUCUACUGUGCUAUUGAUUCAAAUAUACAUUUUAUGUUAGAUUCUUAAAAAAACCCCAAAAAUUAUAUUCACAAGAAUAAGGAAAUUUCAAAGGGAAAAGGUACUGCGUAAGGGGCUAGAACAAUCCUAGACACCUCUUUACACGUCAGUCCUAAUUUCAUGAGUAACAACGGAACUCUGAGGGUUUAUAAUGAGUAAUAUGGUGGAGCGAAGUAACUUAGGGCACAUAUUUUAAUACAGUGGUACAUUGGUUCUCAAACUUAAUCCGUUCCAGAAGUCCGUUCCAAAACCAAGGCACGCUUUCCCAUAGAAAGUAAUGCAAAAGGGAUUAAUUUGUUCCAGAUUAAUUUGUUCCAAACAACCCCUAAAACAGCAAUUUAACAUGAAUUUUACUAUCUAACGAGACCAUUGAUCCAUAAAAUGAAAGCAAUAAUUAAUGUACUGUACUAUAAAAUACAUAAGACAGUAUUGUAGCUGUUAAAAAUUAAAAUUAUUUUUUUUUCUAACCGGCACUGAUGAUAGCCAUUGUUUGGAUGGAGGGCUUUUAUCCAUUUCCACAGUCACACAUUCAAUCAAUCAGUAGCUGAACUGGGCUUCACACAGUCACAAUAACAAAUUAACCGAAAAAGCCUCAAAAACAAAAAUGCAAAAUAAAUAGCAAAAACAAAAGCGCCAAACUUAAUCCAUUCUGGAAGUCCGUUUUGACUUCCAAAAUGUUCAAAAACCAAGGCACAGCUUCUGAUUGGUGCAGGCGCCCCAGAAACAAUAGCCAACAACCACAUCGGACAUUCAGCUUCCAAAAAAAGUUCGAAACCAGAACACUUAUUUCUGGGUUUUCGGCAUUUGAGAACCAAGGUACCACUGAAUUGGGUAGAGUGUGUAGGAUGAACUGGGUGACUUCAUAAACCAUGGCUAGAGAUAUGGAAUAAAAUUCACUAAGGCAUGUUUGCAAGUUGUAUGUUGAGGAAGAAGUGGGGUUUUUUUGUUACCAUCUUUAGACUCAUCUGUCAUACUCUGGAGCUGACUGAAGUGGAACACCGGAUGAGGCAAGACUAGUUAGAGAAGGUUUCAUGAUGUGCUCUACCCCGCACAGAACACAUAGCUCCCAUGUUGCUUCAUCAAGGAACGAACUGAGCCUCAGCCCUAUGGUCAACCCAGUUGCCUCCUAAUUGUGAGCCCUUCCAGUACUGGAAGCUGCUGCUUUGCUUUAAGGAGCUCAGUUAGUAUCUGGUUGCAGUAGGGAGCCAGAGCCAAAGGGAGUUUCUGGCUACUCUGACUCUUCCAUGGAGUCAUCAGGUGGCAGUGCUUCUGGGGUGUGUUCAGCAGACCCUUCCCCUUUUGUUUUGGAGUUCUCCAUUUCAUCACCUGAACAGGAUUCCUGGUGUUUGACAUCAUCAACUGGAAAUGACAAAGACAGAGGUAGCUCCCCCUCUCAGUGUGUCAGGUUUAUUCACAAAACACUCAUCGCACACUGAAAACAGAAGCAAGAUAGUCAUAGUGGCAGCAGUAUGUAGAUCCCUAAAAAGGGCUUUUGAACAGCUAGGGCAAUAAUAUCUGCUUCAUCAAGCCCAGAUCCACGGAGGCGGCUGACUGGAAGCAGUGGAGGAAAAGCCAGGGGAGAAACAGAGUCAGACCCAGGCUAUGUGCUGACAGCAAGAGUGAUUUUGCAAUUUGGCUGUGGAGCCCAGAGUGAAUAUACCCUCCUAAAUAAAAACUUCAGAGCAUAUUCCAGAAUUGAUUGGCUAUAGGAAGGCACAAAUUCCUGGACAUCCUUUUGUUCUCUACAGCAUAGUAAAACUCUAUUUGUGGCAAGACAGGGCAAGUCCCUACACUGCCAGGAUAUUCUUUGUUUAUUUUGUGGAGAACAGUAGUGUUAUUCACUCCUUUGUUAACAUUAUUAAAUUUGUAUUGCUGAAAAAUUGACCCAUCUCCAGAGGGAAAUCUUCUUGUAAGGUGGGUAGAUUGGAUUGGAUUGCUCAAGCUAUGUCCUGCUCACAAGAUAUAUAAAAUCACCUCCCCUGAGGUGACCAAUUUGAUCCCUUCAGCUACUUUUCCCAUCAGGCAGGCCUCCAGAAGCCUCCAUGCUUUUUCUGUGCAGGAAACCAUACUGAAGCCACUUUUAAAAUCAUAAAUGCAAAUCCAGGGGUAGACUUGUCUCCCAGGCUCUUGUAUUUAGCAGCCUGCCAACAUGCUCUGACCACUACUGCCAUGUGGCCCUCAGAAAGCUGUCCAGAAAGAAAUGUGGCCCUUGGGCUGAAAAACAGUUCCUCCUCCCUGCUGUACAUUGUAGAAGGUUCAAAUAUGACAUAUAAGUAAAAGGUGGAGUAUGUGAACUCCUAUCUCUUUGCCAGGAGAACAAAGCCUCCUGUUAGUUCUCCUGCUAGUGAUGUUAUUUUAGAGUAGCCCAAAGGUUGCUUUGUGUACAGUUUGGAAUCACAGUAGUUUUUGGCCUCUAAAGGCUUAGAGUGUAUUUAAGAAUUUGCAAACAGCCCAGUACACAUACUAGUCCAACCAGUAAAAUCACGUUUUGCUAGGUGCACCUAGACAUAUUGUGUGGGAGCUAUUCUCCAUAAGCAGCUUCCGUGAGACUGGGAGAACAUUUAAAUGAGCCAUUCAUGUGGACGUGGAUCAGCUGGAUCUUUUUGCUACAGCACCAAGCAGUUGACCCACACAACUCUAGUUGAGUCAUCCUGACUGUUGCUUUAGGGAUAAGCUGCACUUUGCUCAGUGGAAUUUACCUCUCGGUAAACAUGUACAGUAUAGGAUAUUACAGUGUUUGCAAUUCUCUCAGCUGGGUAGGAGCUGCCCACCCAUGCAGCUGAGAGGAUAUUUAAAGAGUAUGUCUAUAUGGGACUAACUAGUAAUCAGUACUAAAAAUACAGUAAAUCCUAGGUUCUGACAGGUUCUACCCAUGUGACCGAUCCGUGUCUAUUGCUCUGCAAAUUUUAGCCUCUGGUCCCAUCCAUCACUGGUGUGUCCCUGGAAGGUAGACCACAAAAAGAAUGUGGACUUUGGUCUGAAAGAGGUUACACACCCCUGCAAUUGCCUAGGUGUGCUGUCUAGUAUCCCUUGCAUAGUGCUAUAGUAUUGGAGGAUAUGUUUGGGUGGUGUCCGUGGAUCCCAACCAAGCCUGUGAUUUCAUAACUGUAAGGUUGUAGUUUGUAGUAGAACCAAUCAGACCAGGUUUGUUUUUUGUUUUCCCCCCUGUUAAUUGCCCUAACCUGGCCUGUCACCCUCCAUUUGCAUGUCUGACAAGGUGGUGAAGAACAGAUGUGUUGACAGAGAGACAACUGGGUACUGAUGCUUUUUCUAGAGGAGGUAGACUUUCCUCCCUACUGGCUAGAGGCCACAUCAUCUUAUAGGUAGGAGAACAGUAGGCCAGGAGCUAGUCUUUUGGUUUAGUAUGGGGCCAUGGGUGAAAGCUGGAAGGUCACAGAGGCUUGAGUUGCCCUCUGUGCUGAAUCCAAAGCUCUGGGUUUGGGGACACAACUAGAAACCUUAUAGCAGGCAUGUCCAAAGUCCGUUUCAGGGGCCCGCCAGUUGAUUUAAUCCGGCCCCCGUGGCAGCAUAUGUCCUGGGGUAAAAACCUAAAAAAAGCCCAACAACUUCGGGGGGAAAUCCUAAGAAAAAAGUUCAACAACUUCAAUCCUAGAAAAAGCUGAACAACUAUGGUUGGUCCUUUGGUCGCCCUUCACGCAUGUUCACUUCAUGAAAUCUGGCCCUCUUUGAAAAAAGUUUGGGCACCCCUGCCUUAUAGGAAAACAAGAUCUGUUGGAGUGUUAAUGCUGCGAGCAUUUCCAGCUUAUGCCCAGGUUAUAUAUGUCAAUCAAUCAAAUCUUUAUUACGGCCAUAGACCAGCAAAAGUAGGGUAGGUUAUGGUUAUAUAUGUUGUAAAAACCAUAUAUCCUAAAGGCAUCAGAGCCUCCAUUGACCUUCAUUCCAAGAAAACAGCACCCUGGAUAUGUGCUGGAACCCCUAAAGUCUCUCACUGCUCAGAGACUGGGGUGUGCACAACAGUACUUAUCAAGGUCAAAUGUUUCCAGACCACACAAACCAGCUUAGAUAAGCACAGUGUUUAAUGCCAGGGAAGUUAAACUGAACAGAUGAUUUUGAUUCUGCUAGUUCUCAGUGCUAACAUCUUCCUUUCCAUUAUGCCUGCCCAUAUUCAGCUGUGCUUCUCUCUGUGCGUCAGCACCUUUGACUUCAGAGAAAAGCAAGAUGGAGCAAGUUAGGGUGGUAUUCAGCUGUAAAAAUCUUGCAGUUUGCAUAGCAUAAAUAUAUCUCCAUAAAAGUGCUUCAUGGCAGAACAGCUGAGUAAGCUUAAAUCCCUGCCAGCAAGCAGAUUUUUCUUUCACCUUCUCCAUCCAAACCCUGUUUCUUUUUUAAGGAUGUGGCUCAUGCGUUGGCUGUCGUAUUAUCCUGACACCUAGUAGUAUAUAGGCACAGUUGACUCAUAACCUGUUGCAGGAAUAAUGGGAGCUGUUAAUUAAAAGGUAUUAAUAUCAGUUUGCAGGUACAUGUUUGCUUAUAAAACAAAACUCACCAGACAGACUCAGCUGGCUGUCGAUUUUACUGGGUAGCUGACCUAAAAAAAACCCCAACCCCUGCCCCCUUUAUGGCAGAAAAGAACUGCUAAAACUGGAUUUCAAACUAUAAUCAUGAAUGGAUAUUAGGUUUCUUAAUUUGCUGUCAUGAGACGGAUACUUCAGUUGGUUGUUUUAAAGGUUUCAACAGACAUCUAACUUGAGGCAAGCACUGGAAAUAUUCUUUUGGAAGCUUGUUGUUUACCUUCUGGUGGAAAUGUAAGCUCCACCCCCCCCCCCAAAUAAAUCUCUUUGCAGAAACAAUAGGAUUUACUCAGAUAAUUUGCAGGAUUAAGGUCUUGACAGUUCCUUUAAGGCAAGAGUGUGCAUGUGAAUGUGUCUGUGUGUGAGAGAGAGUGUUUUAAGGUUUGCAGUGACCUAACCUUGAGUGAUAGCAACCUAUAGACCCAACAUACCCCACUUAACAAAACCCUGCCUAUUUAACUAAACCAUGCUAGUUAGGACUGACACAUGACUGAAACGAUGGCAGAGGUCCAGUGCUUUUCAUUAAAUUUUGCCACAACAGCCUCCGCCCAAUCCUUGCUACCAAACUCUCUGGUGAGCUUAAAAAGCAAUUUGGCAACAUCCUGUGCUUAAGUGACUUGGCAGAGAUGCAGACAAAAUCUUAGUCUGACUGGCACAAUGGUGUAAUGGCAGAAGGUUGUAAAAUACAUUCCUCUUUAAAAAAUAAAAAUCAAUGUGUCAAUUAUGCAUGUCGCAGAGAUGCAGGAGGGAAGCCUGUCUUUUGACCAGAUGGUGCCAACUUGUUCUGUACAAUUCUGCUAAAUCUUUGGAGGCUCUGCUUCUUCUUCAGGAAGAGUUGUUCUUUAUUCAUCCCUUGAAACAAAGGGAUGACACAUCUUAGUUUGGGGGGGGGGGAGUUUAGUAGAUAUGAGAGAGGUUUAUACAAUUAUGCACGGUAAAUGUAAAGUGGUUUUCUCAUAAGUUCACAACACUAGAACACACAGUAGGUUCAGGAAAACCAAAGGGAGGUACUUCUUCAUACAGAACGUAAUUCAAAUAUGGACUUUGCUACCAUAAAAAAUGUUGAUGGCCACCAAUUUGGAUCGCUUUAAAAGGGGAUUAGACAAGUUCAUGGAGGAUUAAGCCAUAAAUUGCUUCUAGUUCCUCUUCAACCAGGCCUUUGGCUGACUAACAUUCUAUGGGUUUUUUAAAAUGUGUUCGUGGGAGGGUGAUUAUGGUUUUUUUAAAAAUUCUUAUGUAUUUUGUGUUUUUAUGCUGUGUACCACCCUGAGAUCUUCAGAUGAAGGGUGGUAUACAAAUUUAAAUAAUAAAUAAGAAUAAAAACUAAAAAAUAGUUAUCUCCAGAGUUAGAGGCAUUAUGCCUCUGAAUAUCAGUCAUUGUGGGACAACAUAAGGAGACAGUAUUGUGUUCAUGUCCCGCUUCCCACUUUUUCUUUAUUUUUCUUUGUUAAAUUUAUUAAUUUACUCAAUUUGUAUCCCGCCCUUCCUCCCAAAGGAGCCCUGUUUAUUCAAAGACCUAUAUACUGCUUUUCGCACAAGUAUCAAAACACAGCACAACAAUAAUAUCAACCACGGUAUGCAAAUAAGGAAUUCAUAUACACUUGGGUAAAUAAAAAAUGAUGUUAAAUAUUAGGGAAAACGCAUAACUGAAAAUGCUCACCAGAUUGUGGGCAGGGGCUGCUGUUCCUUAAUGUAGGCAUCACCUAUGAUAAUUUCCUCUUUCCAGUUCCUACCAGACGGACUGAAGCAGG